rnacentral:rRNA from 1 species
GCAUAACGCGAAGAACCUUACCCACCUUUGACAUGUACGGAAUCCUUUAGAGAUAGAGGAGUGCUCGAAAGAGAGCCGUAACACAGGUGCUGCAUGGCUGUCGUCAGCUCGUGUCGUGAGAUGUUGGGUUAAGUCCCGCAACGAGCGCAACCCUUGCCAUUAGUUGCUACAUUUAGUUGAGCACUCUAAUGGGACUGCCGGUGACAAACCGGAGGAAGGUGGGGAUGACGUCAAGUCCUCAUGGCCCUUAUAGGUGGGGCUACACACGUCAUACAAUGGCUGGUACAAAGGGUUGCCAACCCGCGAGGGGGAGCUAAUCCCAUAAAGCCAGUCGUAGUCCGGAUCGCAGUCUGCAACUCGACUGCGUGAAGUCGGAAUCGCUAGUAAUCGUGGAUCAGAAUGUCACGGUGAAUACGUUCCCGGGUCUUGUACACACCG